rnacentral:lncRNA from 1 species
UCUCUAUUUAAAUGUAUUCACUCUGAGGAAUUCACUCUGUCAAGAAAUGUUUCCAGCACCCACUCCCGGCCAGCCAGCCGAAAGGGCUCUAGGUGUUCGGAAGACAGCCGAGAGUGCGACCCCGUCGCUGCCUUAGGGACCAAGCACAAGUACAAAGAGAUCAGCAGCCCGUGGCUGUGAUGGGGGCACCCUGAAGACACACAGGCAGCUGAGGGGUGGAGAGAGGUGGGCUUGGUGUGGUCAGAACAUCCACUCUGAGGAGGUGCCAGGAGCAGAGACCUGCGGGGAUACUGAUUAAUUUAGGGCAGCAAUGUACCCAGACUCUGUUCGAGCUAGAGGCAGCUGGGUUACACUAUUCUGGCCAAUGAACUCUGUGAUGGCUGGAGCUGUGGCAGCCAUUUUGCAAUCAUGCAGGAGAGGCCAAGAGAAUCAUAAUGACAACAUUGAUAUCCUUGAGCCCUUGAAUUAUUGCCAAAAGCCACCUACAUUCAGACUUCUUCUUGUGUGAGAAAAAAGCUGCAGAGAAGAGUUGUGAUAAAAUACACUGCAUUAUGUCCUCUUCAGUUCCUUUCUUGUUCUCCCUCCCACAAGAAGAUAAUUUUCAGUUAAACUAUGAACUUAAUUCUUAAGUCCAGAUUCAGGCAAAACUCCCCUUGGGAGGACUCUCUGCAUAAGGCUGGUGAUUCCUACUUUCCCUCCCCAAACGGAAUAUCUUCCACUUUCGUUUAAUUAUUAAUAGGCUGCAGACAUAUUUAAGAUGCGACCCUAGCAUAAAGUAUAUUUAAAACUCUAGCGAGGACUCCAUUACGCGGAUGAAUAAAGGAUGAGUUCUCCAGCCUACCUUCCCUGACCGCUCAGCUGCUCUCCCACACGCAGCUCACUUUCCUGGUGGCUGUUCCGCCUGGUCUGUUUGUCCAGCCAGCUGGUAGGAUCGUAACAAGGACCAUGCUAGGAAAGGCACGAGCCCAGGACUCUCUGGGGAAUAGAAACGUUAAUGCCAACCAAGAAGCUGCACAUGAGGCUCCUUCGUCAAGACAGAUCCAAAGAGGAGGGUUAGUUCCAGAAAGAGAUUCUCCACAGCCUGACUCAGCGCGGGGCACAGAAAAUGGUCAAAGCUGUGUUUCCACUCGCCCGAGGCUGGUGCGUGAUCCAGAAACAACAGCAACUGAAACACACAGGCCUGGAGCAGGGGAAGCCGGGAGACUCUUUGGAGCAGAAGCAGCAAAGAGAAGCUGGGGUGGCACCAGGACGAAGUAUCAGCAUAAAUGGGUCUCAGUCAAACAUUUAUUUCUUGCACGUCAAAA